GUUCCAUAGCAUCACUAUGUGACUGCUGCUGCCUGAUAAUCUUGCUUCCAGCUCCCUGAGUCAACAACUAACUGAGGUGCCUUUUCUUUUACAAAAGGAUGUCAGCUCUGAGACCCAGGAAGAAAUAACAGACUUCACCUUGGAAUAGCUCACCUCACUCCUGCAUCAUUAAAGCGGAUUUUGUAAAGAAAACAAAAAUCAACCCCCAUUCCAGCCCCUCCUCAUUCCACCACUGAACAGAAAGAGUUUCCUGCUCCAGAACAAUGAUUAGACAACAUUUUCUGUAUAAGUUUCAUGAUCAAGAUCAUUAGUGAGCAAGGCAAUAUGUCAGCACAAUCUUUGGAUUCAAGCACAGCAACAUAUAAGAAGAAAACAUAUCACCAAAUAUUGAUAGAGUAAAUAUAAAGGAAGGCCCACUGGGGAGAAAAGAGUGAGCUGACAUGAUCAAGAAGUGGUUUUCAGUGACUGUGAUCAACAAGGAAAGGGAAAGACAAACUCUCCUCCCACUGAAGUCUUCAUAGCCAUACAUCACUUCUUUCCUUCUUCUAACCUUGUUUCAAAUGCAGCCGUAUUCAGGUCACAACUGAGACCUCAAUGAUCCGGUGAUGCUGUGAUUCUCCAGGACAAGAAACAUCCUGGGAGCUGAAAACCUCCUGGGAGGAACAAAACAUCCACUCAGUUCCUCAUUGUUCUUGGAUCUUUACCAUCUUGUUUACGCGGAUGUACUGAACUC
ensembl:lncRNA